GGGAUGUAAUAUCUUCGGUCGAUUCUCAAACUUUAAAUACGCAAGAUAGAGAUGGUUGCUUAAUUGAACCUCUCUACUGAAAACGUCGGCCCUGUGGGCCACUUUUGGUAAGCAGAACUGGCGAUAUGGGAUGAACCAUAAGUUUGGUUAAGGCGUCAAAAUACCCGCUUAAAGAUCCCACAAAAGGUGUUGGUUCAUCUAGACAGCAGGACGGUGGCCAUGGAAGUCGGAAUCCGCUAAGGAGUGUGUAACAACUCACCUGCCGAAUGAACUAGCCCUGAAAAUGGAUGACGCUUAAGCGGGUUGCCGACACCAGACCGUUUCGAUAAGAAUCGAUCGAAAUGAGUAGGAGGGCGUGGCGGUUUUGUUGUGAAGGAUGAGACGCAAGUCUAUCUGAAACGGCCGCUAGUGCAGAUCUUGGUGGUAGUAGCAAAUAUUCAAGCGAGAUCCUUGAAGGGCGAAGCGGGGAAGGGUUCCACGCGAACAUUGAUUGGGCGUGGGUGAGUCGUUCCUAAGCCGGGUGGUAAUCGUUCUUCGAUCGGCGAAAGGGAAGCGGGUUAAAAUUCUCGCACACGGAUGUGGAGGCGGUGACGCAAAUUGAGGUGGAGACGUUAGCGGUGGCACUGGGCAGAGUUUUCUUUUCUGUUUAACCUGUGAGUGCACUCUGUGGAAUCCGAUUAUCGGGCGAAACAGGUGCUUAUGGGAAGAGCGUCGGGGCGUCCCCGGCGUCCAGUACGCCACCGAUAGCCCUUGAAAAUCCAUCUGCAAUGAAAUUUCACGCCGUGGCGUACCGAUAACCGCAUCAGGUCCCCAAGGUGAACAGCCUCUGCUCAAUAUGAACAAUGCAGGUAAGGGAAGUCGGCAAAAUAGACCCGUAACUUUGGGAAAAGGGUUGGCUCUAGUGGGGUGGGGGAUUUUACUGAGUCAUUUGGGUUUGGUUUGGCUGUGUCGAGUGGGCUAA
rnacentral:rRNA from 1 species